CUUGGUUUCCAUGAACCUCGAUGGUAUAUCUUCUUCCUUCUUUGAGUAUAUACAUCUUUUUUCCUCCACCGAUUCAGAGAACUGAAUCCUUAAAUCUCCAUUAUCUUCUUCGAGCCUAUUCUUCUUUCUUCACCGAUUCAGAGAACUACUGUAUCUCCUUCAUUCGGAAUACUCUCCACCGAGCUUACUAUUUCUCUUCCUCCACCGAUUCAAAGAACUAUGAAGCCACGAACAGGGAGGUCGAUUUGAAUACUCAACCGUUUCAGAGAGGUCGAUUUGAUGAAAGGCAUGAAUAGAGAGGUCAAUUUUGAUAGAGAUGGGAAUGGUUAGCGGCUCGAACAACUUUUGUCUGUAGAAGCCAACAAAAAGAAACUGAACUUUAUAUUUGAUGAUUUAGCUGAGGUUUCUUUUCUUAAUUCCGAAGAGAAUUUAGAGGGGUGACAACAUCAAGAUCCGAGUAGGGACGAUGAAGAUGCCACAGUGGAAGGGAACUCUACAAUUUCUCUUGAACCAAUCACGAACCAAAAGGAAAGUAGGGAACUCUACAAUUCUUUUAUCCCCUGAAAACUGGUGAAGUUUCAGAUAUUCAUCGAACCCUUGAAAAGAGUGCAUCAAAUUACCCUGCUUUUGAUAGUAACGAUGCUCUUUCGGCUGUUAACUCACCAACUAUCCAAGGUAUUGAAGUCAAAGAAUCUCUUUCCUCGAGAAAAUUGUGUCUAAGUUUCAGCAAUGGGAUCACUUCAAUUACUGCAAUAGGUUGAAGGAGAGGAUCAUAUCUAAGAUCUUCGGGACCAUCAUUGGGCAAUGAAUUUUUCUUUCAGAGAAGCCUAUGACAUCAGAGGCAUGUGCCCCAUUGAUUGCUACACUUCCUUUGGAGGUUCAAGACAAAAUUGGAGAGUUCAUAAAAGGGGGUGUAUUUUAGAGUACAGAAUCUGUCUCAAAAGUUACAAGAGGCAGAUUGGUGAACUGAUGCAUGGGUUACAUUGCGGACAAGCGCGUCCUUGAAGUUCAAUGCUUUGAACCCUAAAGGACGAAUCUGGACAAUAGUAGCAGGUGGUGGUGCAAGUGUUAUAUAUGCUGAUAUUGUUGGAGAUUUAGGUUAUGCUUCGGAGCUUGAAAACUAUGCAGAAUACAGUGGAGCUCCAAAUGAGGAGGAGCUGUUGCAGUAUGCCAGAGUUGUUAUUGAUGUAAGAACUCUCUAAACUUGGGUAUAGGAUGGAGCUAUAACUUCUUCUU